GAUGAACGCUGGCGGCGUGCCUAAUACAUGCAAGUCGAGCGAACAGACGAGGAGCUUGCUCCUCUGACGUUAGCGGCGGACGGGUGAUUACCACGUGGAUAACCUACCUAUAAGACUGGGAUAACUUCGGGAAACCGGAGCUAAUACCGGGUAAUAUAUUGAACGGAAUGGUUCAUUAGUGAAAGACGGUUUUGCUGUCCCUUAUAGAUGGAUCCGCGCCGCAUUAGCUAGUUGGUAAGGUAACGGCUUACCAAGGCAACGAUGCGUAGCCGACCUGAGAGGGUGAUCGGCCACACUGGAACUGAGACACGGUCCAGACUCCUACGGGAGGCAGCAGUAGGGAAUCUUCCGCAAUGGGCGAAAGCCUGACGGAGCAACGCCGCGUGAGUGAUGAAGGUCUUCGGAUCGUAAAACUCUGUUAUUAGGGAAGAACAAAUGUGUAAGUAACUAUGCACGUCUUGACGGUACCUAAUCAGAAAGCCACGGCUAACUACGUG
rnacentral:rRNA from 1 species